rnacentral:tRNA from 1 species
GGGCCCGUAGCUCAGCUAGGUAGAGCGCUCGACUGAUAAUCGAGAGGUCGUGGGUUCAAAUCCCACCGGGCCCA